rnacentral:rRNA from 1 species
GAGAUGUUGGUUAAGUCCGCAACGAGCGCAACCCUUAUCCCUAGUUGCCAUCAGGUAAGCUGGGAACUCUGGGGAGACUGCCGGUGGAUAAACCGGAGGAAGGCGGGGAUGACGUCAAGUCCUCAUGGCCCUUACAUCCCGGGCUACACACGUGCUACAAUGGCAGGUACAGAGGGCUGCGAAGCCGCGAGGUGGAGCGAAUCCCAGAAAACCUGUCUCAGUCCGGAUUGAAGUCUGCAACUCGACUUCAUGAAGGCGGAAUCGCUAGUAACCGCGAAUCAGCAGGUCGCGGUGAAUACGUUCCCGGGCCUU